GCCAGGUCGCGGCGGAGGAUCUGGAGCUGAGCCCACGCAGUUGAGGUUGAGGAAGAAGGAGACGAGGGAAGCAGCAACAAGACUGCUGGCUGGUGACGGGUCAGCGGCCACGAGAGGAGGGGGAAGGGGGACGACGUCAUGCUUUCUCGCCACCUGCACGUCCUCGUCCCAUAGUCCGCUGCUCCUUGUCUGCGCCGUUUCAACUCCAGCUGCAGCAGACAGGGAGGCAGAAGAGAGGACAUGCUGAAGAAUGAAGGUGGACAAACCAGGUGCACAUGAACAGCAAGGCAUGUUUGGCGUCGUACUUGACCGUGCUGCAGAACAACAUCUUGUGGU